rnacentral:rRNA from 1 species
UAGGGAAUCUUCCGCAAUGGACGAAAGUCUGACGGAGCAACGCCGCGUGAGUGAAGAAGGAUUUCGGUUCGUAAAACUCUGUUGUUAGGGAAGAAAAAAUGUAUAGUAACUAUAUACAAAAGAGACGGUACCUAACCAGAAAGCCACGGCUAACUACGUGCCAGCAGCCGCGGUAAUACGUAGGUGGCAAGCGUUGUCCGGAAUUAUUGGGCGUAAAGCGCGCGCAGGUGGUUUAGAAAGUCUGAUGUGAAAGCCACGGCUCAACCGUGGAGGGUCAUUGGAAACUAAUAAACUUGAGUGCAGGAGAGAAAAGUGGAAUUCCUAGUGUAGCGGUGAAAUGCGUAGAGAUUAGGAGGAACACCGGUGGCGAAAGCGGCUUUUUGGCCUGCAACUGACACUGAGGCGCGAAAGCGUGGGGAGCAAACAGG